rnacentral:pre_miRNA from 1 species
AUUCUACUCCCUCCGUUGCACAAUACAUGCCUUCUAUUUGUCAAAAUAUAUAUGUAUCUAGACAUGUGUUAGUAUAUAGGUAUAUCCAUUUUUGGACAAAUGGAAGUCAAGUAUUUUGGAACGGAGGGAGUACACA